UAGGGAAUCUUCCACAAUGGGCGAAAGCCUGAUGGAGCAACGCCGCGUGGGUGAAGAAGGUCUUCGGAUCGUAAAACCCUGUUGUUAGAGAAGAAAGUGCGUGAGAGUAACUGUUCACGUUUUGACGGUAUCUAACCAGAAAGCCACGGCUAACUACGUGCCAGCAGCCGCGGUAAAACGUAGGUGGCAAGCGUUAUCCGGAUUUAUUGGGCGUAAAGGGAACGCAGGCGGUCUUUUAAGUCUGAUGUGAAAGCCUUCGGCUUAACCGGAGUAGUGCAUUGGAAACUGGGAGAAUUGAGUGCAGAAGAGGAGGGUGGAACUCCAUGUGUAGCGGUGAAAUGCGUAGAUAUAUGGAAGAGCACCAGUGGCGAAAGCGGCACUCUGGUCUGUAACUGACGCUGAGGUUCGAAAGCGUGGGUAGCAAACAGG
rnacentral:rRNA from 1 species